rnacentral:lncRNA from 1 species
AAACAAAGUUGAACAAAAAGAGCAAGCUAUAAAUGACUGUAAUAAAAAGCAUGAUAAAAUGUUUAUAGACACUGGAAAAAAAAGCCCAAAAUACUAGCAUGUAUUUUUUUUAGAGACUAGAGAAAUAAAUGGGGAUGAUAAAUCCCAAAUUCAGGACUGUGUUUCCUUCCACAGGAAGAUGAAAGAAAGAAGGCAAGAGGCUAUACAAAGUUCAUCAGAGAAGUACAUGUGAUGGGGCUGGAGUGCAGUGGCUCAAUCAUAGCUCAUUGCAGUGUUGAAGUCCCUGGCUCAAGUAAUCCUCCUGUGGAGCUGUGACUACAGAUGUGCGCUACCAUGCCUGGCCGGUCUCUGAGGUUUUGACUGAAGUAGACACACUUUGAGUUUUAUGAAAAGAGAAUUGAUUACCAUCAGAGGACUAUUGCCUGUCCAUUACCAAUGCUGGGCACUUAAAAAAUGAGGCACAGUCUGGAAAGGAGACACUGUGGGGAGUUAGUCUGCUCUCUUCAAGGAUUGUCUGUCUUGCAUUCCUCAAGGAGUUUCCAGACUUGGAAGAGAGAAACACAGGGGCCAAAAGCCUCAAUCCUAGAAAUGACAGUGAUGACAGAGAAGGAUCAGAGGAGGGAAGCCAGUGAGCAUCCUCUGGGUUAAGGUAGGUGCUUCCUGGUAAAGAUAACACUUGAGUUGUAUCUUUGCUUUUGUUCUUUAAUCUGUAUAGUGUUUUCUAUUACCAGGACAUGGUAACUGGUACACAGAACACUGUGGACCUGAAACCUACAAAAAUUAGAGAGACUGGGCUUAUUU